rnacentral:lncRNA from 1 species
UGUGCCAGCUACCAGGACUACCAGGAGUGGCUGUACUGCCUGAAAACCGCCCAGUUCCGAAACGCCGACUCCUCCCUUCUCGGGCUCCGAGAGCUUCUCGGUGGGGCCAAAGCCGCCGCAGCCCUGCCAGUUCCCCAGCAGUGUGAGGGGAUCCCUCAGCUCUGACGGCCGGACCAACUCCUGGGCGUCCGGGGGCAGAGUGACCGCGCUGACCCAGCUGUGCCCGGCCAGCGGCUCCCUGCCCGACGGCCCCUCCUUCCUGCUGAGCCCCGAGAGCCGCCGGCUGCAGGAGCCCCUGUGCCCUGCCUACUGCCAGCCUCUGCAUAGCCUGGCCCAGCGCAGCUGGCCCAGCCCGGGGCUGCCCCCGCGGGAGCUGCGCAGGGGCAGCAGCGGCAGGAAAUGCAAGGGCAGCAGCAGCGGGCACGCCGCGCCCCGGCAGGAGCAGGAGAGCGGCGUCUGCGGCCUCACCCCCGAGCAGCCCGGGGCAGAGGGGCAGUCCCCGGGGUACCAGGAGCCCUACUCAGCACAGGGAGCCCAGCAGCACCCCCUGGCACCGCUGGAGAUGGGCAGGAUCUGCUCCGUGCCACAGGAACACCUGGGCCCUGAGCUGCGCCCCCCAGAUGGCCCCUAUGCCCUGGCAGAUGCCAGCUGCCCGUGCCGGGACUCCACGCUGUACCACGACUACGCGGAGCUGCAGAGCUUCCAGAGCGACCUGAGCUACGACAACCUGUGGGAGGCGGAGGAGCAGGAGCCGGGCAGCCCGCACGUCUUCCAGGUGUGAGGCAGGAAAAGCCCCGGCACGGAGAGCCCCGAGCUCUGCCCCAGCCCGGGCAGCUGCAGGGCUCAUUCCCUGCCCCAAACCCCAGCGUGGGGCUCAGCAGAGCAGCCCCGGGCUCUGUGGGGCUGCAG